GACGAACGCUGGCGGCGUGCUUAACACAUGCAAGUCGAACGGAAAGGCCCUGCUUUUGUGGGGUGCUCGAGUGGCGAACGGGUGAGUAACACGUGAGUAACCUGCCCUUGACUUUGGGAUAACUUCAGGAAACUGGGGCUAAUACCGGAUAGGAGCUCCUGCUGCAUGGUGGGGGUUGGAAAGUUUCGGCGGUUGGGGAUGGAUUCGCGGCUUAUCAGCUUGUUGGUGGGGUAGUGGCUUACCAAGGCUUUGACGGGUAGCCGGCCUGAGAGGGUGACCGGCCACCUUGGGCCUGAGAUACGGCCCAGACUCCUACGGGAGGCAGCAGUGGGGAAUAUUGCACAAUGGGCGGAAGCCUGAUGCAGCAACGCCGCGUUCGGGAUGACGUCCUUCGGGUUGUAAACCGCUUUCGCCUGUGACGAAGCGUGAGUGACGGUAAUGGGUAAAGAAGCACCGGCUAACUACGUG
rnacentral:rRNA from 1 species